rnacentral:tRNA from 1 species
GGCCCGAUAGUUCAGUUGGUUAGAAUGCCAGCCUGUCACGCUGGAGGUCGAGGGUUCGAGCCCCUUUCGGGUCGCCA